AAUGGAUAAUAAUGAAGCCCACAGAUUUUCACUCCAGAACUGACUUUGCUGCAGAGGAGUGAGGAGAGCUGCCUGGCAACGCAACGCAUCGCUGUGCAUAAACUUUGUUUACAGCCAAGGCUGGAGUAAAGGAACAGAUGGCAAGAAAAUCGGAUUUAAAGAAAGGAAGGAUGUGCUUGCAUCUGGGAGCUCGGGGAGCAGAAGCCCACUCAGUUUAUCUCAGGUGUUGAAUCUGUUGGUGGGAGAAUUCCUGGAUGUUUCCUACAAGCAGAUGGCAAUGUUCUCUUAGUCUCAUCGGAACCAGACAGAGAAGGGGACGGUGGAAAAAGGACUGAUAGAGACAAAGCACAUCUAGCCAACCAGUCACCCUCUACUUCUAAAGACUUUUGAAAACAAGAGUAUUGUCAAGAAUUAUUUAACAUUAUUAUGAUACUAUCAUUAUAAUCAAGGAGUGGGCUGUUGAGAGUUUCAUCUUC
rnacentral:lncRNA from 1 species